rnacentral:rRNA from 1 species
AGAAUCAACGCUGGCGGCGUGCCUCAGACAUGCAAGUCGAACGCGAAAGGCUCCUUCGGGGGCUGAGUAGAGUGGCGCACGGGUGAGUAACACGUAGGUAAUUUGCCUUCGGGUGGGGAAUAACUCAGGGAAACUUGAGCUAAUACCGCAUAAUGCAGCGGCUCGACAUCGAGACAGUUGUUAAAGCGGGGGAUCGUAAGACCUCGCGCCUGAAGAGAAGCCUGCGGCAGAUUAGCUAGUUGGUAGGGUAAUGGCCUACCAAGGCGACGAUCU